rnacentral:rRNA from 1 species
UACGUAGGGUGCGAGCGUUGUCCGGAAUUAUUGGGCGUAAAGAGCUCGUAGGCGGUCUGUCGCGUCUGCUGUGAAAACCCGAGGCUCAACCUCGGGCCUGCAGUGGGUACGGGCAGACUAGAGUGCGGUAGGGGAGAAUGGAACUCCUGGUGUAGCGGUGGAAUGCGCAGAUAUCAGGAGGAACACCGGUGGCGAAGGCGGGUCUCUGGGCCGUUACUGACGCUGAGGAGCGAAAGCGUGGGGAGCGAACAGG